GCGGGGCGUAGCUCAGAUGGUAGAGUGCUUACUUAGCUGGUGAGAGGUACGGGGAUCGAUACCCCGCACCUACA